GGUCAGUAGGUUGGUCGUGCCACCGGUACGUACUGGUCUCACUGAUUCCUCCUUCCUGAAGAACCGUAAUGCCAUUAAUUUGGUGUUGCGGGGAAACAGGACUGUUACUUUGAAAAAAUUAGAGUGUUUAAAGCAAGCUAACGCUUGAAUACAUUAGCAUGGAAUAAUGGAAUAGGACGAUCGAUCCUAUUUUGUUGGUUUCUAGGAUUGACGUA
rnacentral:rRNA from 1 species